rnacentral:lncRNA from 1 species
AGUACAAUAUUUCAUUCCUUUAUAGGUUAGCUUUACUUCACACCCUAACCUUAUUUUCUCUCUCCUUUUCACAUGGACACAAAAGAAGCUAUUUAGCCACAGUUUCCAUCUUGCAAAUACUCAGUUUCGUGAUCCAAACAAGAAUACUAGUUGCUUGAUUUUAUAUAUUCUUGGUUUAAUUUAUUCCCUUGCUUUGUUGUUUCUUCUUCUCAAUGGCCAGUGAUCUGUUCGGUUUUUUUUUUCUUUUUAUUGGUAAUCUCCAUAUAGAUUUUCAGGUUUGUAGGGUAGAUCAGUUAGAUCUAUAUGCUGAAACACUCAUUGAGCACUUCAAACUCUUCAACUGUAAUUGGUAUUACAUAUAUAUAUUUGCUGUAGAAGGAAGUGUUUUUGUGGUUGAAUUUUAGUCUUUUUUUGUUUGAUUGAAUUAGGGUUUUCUCCCUAGGGUAUAUUUUAAUUCUCUUCUAGACUAUGUUCUACUCCAUGCAAACUAGUUUAAAAUACAUCCCAACUUUGCCUGUUGCAAAGUGCCUUUAGAUUCUAAUCCCAAUAAUGAAGGAUCAGUCGUUGUUUGCAAAUGUAGCAUCAUCAAGAUUCACAUGCAACGUCGUAUGUAUGUAUAUAUAUAUAUGUAUAGUUUGGGCCUGAGAAUCUUGAUGAUGCUGCAUUGGCAAUGAAUGGCUAUGGCGGAACAUUGAAACGAUUCCUUUCCGUUCCAUAUUCCAAUCAGGGUACAAAAUAUGCUUGUUAAUUCAGGGUUUAACCUUUAUUUUUACUUGUUAAUUCAAGGUUUAUGUUGUUGUCAAUUGAGUACGAUUUUGAUGGGAGAUGGAUAGAAUGGACAGCUUAUAGUAAAGAUAUUAGAUUCCUUGCACUGCAAAUUAUAGUUGGUGGUCCUUUCUGUUCAGUUGUCAAUCAUGCUGUUCACUGCCCCAAUGUUCAUUACAACUUUUAAUUGCUGUUCCAGGUGAUCAUCAGAUUCCCUUUCGUACUAUUAAACAAGCAAAUAAUGAAUAAGAUAUAUGAGUUCAUGGUGAGCGUUGGAAAUACACAGGUAUUUCCAAUUUUUAAAACUCUUUCAAUAUAUUUGUACCAUCGUACUUAUACUCAUGUAUUACAAAGUAAACCAAAUUUUGAGUCGAGGCAUAAUUUGUUUUCCUUCACUGAUUGGUACUCUUUAGCUUAUCUGCUUUCAUCUUUGUAAUCCUAUGUUUGGUUUGUAUAUAUGUAUAUGCUAUGUUUUUAAACGUUUUGUACAUACAUCUUGCACACACACAUAUAUAUAACACUACAUAUUACAUAAAUAUAUUUUAUACCACUUUACACGUAGUAAGGCAUCAUUACAAUAGACCUCACAAAAGACCCUAUAUUUGUACUCUGAAAGGUCAUGAAAGAGAUCUCUCCUGUCCACCUUUUUUAUUCACCUUCCUCGUGGGAGAAAGCACCAAGCUUUCAACUUUCUCCAUAUCAUCCGCUGUGUGCUGUAUCCUAAAUAAGAUGAACUGAUAUUUUACCAUCAAUUUAAUUUUGCAUCAACACUUCAAGUUCAAAUAUUGAAAUAUUUCAGACUUUCAUUCUGUUAGAAAAAUAAAUAAUAAAAAUUGCAACAAUAAAAAAAUAAAAUAAAAUAAGUAAAAUAUGAUAGCUUUCAAGCGUAUAAAACAUUCUUCUUAAGCCUUUUAGAUGACUCUAAUAUAUAAUAAAUCUCUCAGCACUCUAAACAGAAUAGUAAAAAUGACUAAUAGAAAUGUCAUUUUAUAUAAACAUCUAAUAUGUAUAUCUUUCCACAAGAUACUCUUUCAUAGGGAUAUAUCUUUUAAUAAGAUAUACUUUCAUAAGAUUGUGUUGUUUUACAAAAUAACUUUAAUAAAAUUAUGUCUUUAUAAGACAAUUUUACGAACAAGAGUUACAUCUUUAGAACACAAUUAUUCAUUAAUAAUUAUAAUUUAUUAGAAAUUUCUAAACAAUAAAACAUUAUUACCUAACCAUUAACACAUUCAACCCUUUUUAAGUAAUUAUUUUAUUUUGCACUUUGUCUGAAUAGACAUCAACUUAUAGGAAGAUUGCUGAUAAAAUGAUCUGUCAUAUUGAAAUAAUGCCAUGACCGAUCUGAUGGAAACAAAUUUUGGGUUUGAGUUGGAUCAUCUCCCCUUUUGAGGAUGCACUCCAAGCGAUUGAAGAUGAAAUCAUACCCUUGUUUUAUUAGUUUCUGCAUAUGGAUUUUUUUAGAUACAUGUCAUGCUCUAUCUCGGAUGAGACUGCUGUUAUUAAUUGUGCUACUUAACAUGUUGCUAUCAGUGUUUGCAAAGGAUAAGAUAAUAUGUAUUCCUGGUUUAAAGUAAACAUUACACUGUUUUCAGGAUUUUGAUUUAUCAAGAAAUUAAUUACUGCAUGAUCGGCUGAUAUUAGAAGGCUGGAACUCUUCCAAUGUUGGGUGCUUUUCAUGUUGUUAUACUACCUAAGAAUGUCUCUCAUUUGCCUUCAGAAUAAUAAUAAAUGAAUGGAUGAUCCUCUCUAAGAAUGUCUCUCAUUUGCCUUUAGAAUAAUAAUAAAUGAAUGGAUGAUCCUCUCUAACUUGGUGAUGCAUAAUGGACUAUGAUGACUUUCCAUUUAACCUUCUAUGCUGAGGUAUAAUGGAUGAUGAUGAUGACUUUCCAUUAUCUUGUAAAGAUCUACAUUUAGAAGAAUUGCAGAUAUAUGAAGAAUAUGUAUGUGACAGUUGAUCCUAUCUCGUGAAAUUAACUAUGAAAAAAAUAUAUAUACGCUAGCUACUUGUUAUAGUUAAUUUCUCAGCUAUUAGUAUCUUUUUCCUUACUAUCUAGUUACAAAA